UAGGGAAUCUUCGGCAAUGGGGGGAACCCUGACCGAGCAACGCCGCGUGAGUGAAGAAGGUCUUCGGAUCGUAACGCUCUGUUGUUAAGGAAGAACGAGUGUGAGAACGGAAAGUUCAUGCUGUGACGGUACUUAACCAGAAAGGGACGGCUAACUACGUGCCAGCAGCCGCGGUAAUACGUAGGGGGCUAGCGUUGUCCGGAAUCACUGGGCGUAAAGGGUUCGCAGGCGGAAAUGCAAGUCAGGUGUAAAAGGCAGUAGCUUAACUACAGAAAGCAUUUGAAACUGCAUAUGUUAAGAAGAGUAGGGGGAAGUGGAAUUUUUAGGGUAGCGGUGAAAUGGGUAGGGAAUAGGGGGAAAACCGGUGGGGAAAGCGGCUUUGUGGCCUGCAACUGACACUGAGGCGCGAAAGGGUGGGGAGCAAACAGG
rnacentral:rRNA from 1 species